GUAUAGAGUAGGUGAUAAAACAACAGAGGAAGAAUACAUCCUGAUGGUGAAUACAUGCCAAGUCAUCAUGGAUUGUCUUCCUUAUUCUGUACCACAGGCUGUGGAGAGAGGUUCACCAAUACUCUUCACUGCACAAGUCCUCCAUAACACCUUCAAGACACCUAGCCCCUACAAGUCUCUUGGGUCUGACUUUAUUCUGCCCCGAGAACGAGGCUGGAAUUGAAAUAGGUGGCAGACAUGUGAGCUGACUUUUGAAUAAGGAACCACCAGCCUGCGGGGAGAUGAUCCAGUUUGACGUGAGCGUCUGGCAGCCAACACGUCUGGACACUGUCCCGUCUCUUUGCGGUCACAACCUGGAGGUCCGGUUCUGAGCACGUUUAGCUUAGCGCUGACGUUGUUGAAGUAGUUCUUGAGCUCUGCUACGGGUCCUGCUUCGGAGAAGAGCUGUUCCACAAAGGCCUGGGCGUACUGAUCCGAGGUGACCAGGUCCAGGUUCAGAGAUGGGGAUAAAGAAGCUGCAAAAUGAAGGUCAGAAAUGUUGUUUUAAUGUGCUGUCAUGCAAACUGACUGGUAGCUUUCUUGAACUUUGAAUGGAACCAGCAAAAGGGUGCAAGUAUGAUCGAUAACCCAUAUUCUACUGCUGAUUACUAAAGAACACAAAAGGGUAAAAACAAACCUCUUUUCUGAUGAAAGAUGAGAGUCUAAACUUUCUUUUGGUAUAUACCAUGUCCAUAUAGUCCAAGAACACAAUGCCUUGUGUCUUGAAAAAUCCAUCAAAAUCAUCAAAAAUGGCCGGUACCAAGAGGGAUGGCUUUUGAAAUUUUUUUAAGAUUUUUAAUUUAAAAAUAGUUAAUAAAAUUUGUUUAAAUAUACAUUAUGUAUAGUAUAGUAUUUCCAUAUUAUUGGUUGGAUUCAGUUGUGCACAUUGGGCAAGUGGUUAGCGUGCAGGCCUCACAGCUAGGAGAUCCGAGUUCGAUUCCCCCCUCGGCCAUCUCUGUGUGGAGUUUGCAUGUUCUCCCUGUGCAUGUGUGGGUUUUCUCCGGGUACUCCGGUUUCCUCCCACAUUCCAAAAACAUGCUAGGUUAAUUGGCAACUCCAAAUUGUCCAUAGGUAUGAAUGUGAGUGUGAAUGGUUGUUUGUCUAUAUGUGCCCUGUGAUUGGCUGGCCACCAGUCCGGGGUGUACCCCGCCUCUCGCCUAAAAACAGCUGGGAUAGGCUCCAGCACCCCCACGACCCUUGUGAGGAUAAGCAAUAGAAAGUGAAUGAAUGCAUGAAUUCAUAAUAUUCUAUUACUUAUUAUGAAGCAUUUUCUGUACAGGUUUCUUAAGGUAAAAGUUUGACCUCUGCAGCAUAAUUAAUUAAAAUUAUGUCUGACAUAUUUAUAUUAAAUGAAACAUUCAACAACCUCUGGAACAGAGAAACUGAGUUUCCGAGGGCAGGCCUACCCCAGGAUGUGAAGCAGCUUGAGAAAAAUAAGUCUGUCAUGUUUAAACAUUUAAAAGUUUAGUUCCGAUAGUGAGAGAGUAAACAGAAUAAGCUCCAUCAAAUCCGUUUUUCUGGGUUAGGGGAGGCCCCAACCAUAUUGUAUUCUCUGAGGGGAGUCUCACUGUGCCACGCAAGUAAAAUCCCUGGUCUACUGUGUAUAAAAAUAAGUAAUUCAUUUCUUUAUUAAAGAUUUGCAUUCCAAGGGCCCAUCUUGAGCAGUUUACAUUACCUAUCUCGGCCUGCAUGGCGGCGAGCGUGAUGCUCACGCUCUUUCCCGACUCCCUGUCAGUCAGCAUGAUUCCGGUCAUGGCUCCUUCCUCGGGUCCCUCGCACGGCAGGGGGAGACCACCUCGACUUUUCACAACAUCCACUGUGUUUGACUUGUAACGCCUUGAAAGAAUAAUAAUAAUAAAAAAAUAUAUAUUUUAACAUGACAGGUUGUCAGGAAGAAGCUAAUUUGCGUGGCAUUUGUGAAUAAACAUCUUGUACAGUCAGUCAUUGCGGAUCCGGUGUGUCCAAAUGACGCAUUUAUGCUUUUAUUUUCAUACAUUGCUGUCACUUUUGACAAGAUGUUGACUUAAAAGUUAAGACAGAUACGCUAAUUAAUGUUUAUUUUGUGUGCUUUUGCCGUCAUAGUCGUAACAGGAUCUUCGUUUGUGUGUGUGCAUCCAGUUCGGACUUCUUCACAUGCUUUUUUUUUACAUCUGGUGUGUGGCAAACUACUAAAUAAUGGAAUACCUACAGAAAGUGAAAGUGAAAGUGAAAAAGUAAUAACAGCUUCCACUCUUCAUUUUCUGUCAUUUGUGUGUUGGCCCAAUACUUUUGCACACUUAGAUGCUGCAGUUGUUUGCAUUAACCUGAAAGCAGGUACAAUCUGUGCCAGAUCCUCCUUGUAUUGCUCCAGCACAGCCCUUGCCGCCACGGGUUCUUCCCGCCCCUCCAUUCUCGCCAGGUGAACCAACAUUUGGGUGUGGAAUGCUGCUCCGCUGGCCCAGAACCUCAAAGACCUGCAGGUCCAACAAUGUGUCAAUAAACUGAUUCUUACUACUCCCAAUAUUCACCCACCUGGAGUCACAUUCCCCCCCAAGCAGACAGGUCUUCAGCUGGGUCAGGGUGAGACUGAGCUGGCCCUCCAGUCUCAAAGAGUCCUGGUACAGUCGAGUCUUAUCGCUCAGGUUGAUCCUGCAGCGCUUCAAGUACUCCUCCAUGACCUCCUGGAGCUCCCACACCCUCUGCUGGAGGGGACAACUGCUUGGAUGACAUGUAGAGCAUGUCCAUCACCAUGGUAACCGCCAAUCCCAGCAGGCCGGCCAGGCGGGGCUCAUCUGAGAAUGAAGACAGCCGUCCAAUCAGAUCCCUCAGUAGUUGUUCCUGGAGGCGGGACCUGUAUUCCUCAUCCUGAUUGGUGAGCAGCAGCGGGUGCACCACACCUAGGUCAGGUGGACUUACUGGUGUGUUUUGGAUCAUUGUCCUGCCGCAGAACCCAAGUUGGUUUCAGGCUGAAGGUACAAACAGAUGGCCGGACAUUCUCCUUCAGGUAUUUUUGGUAGACAGCAGAAUUCAUGGUUCCCCAAGUCUCGAAGCAGUAAAACAGCCCAAGACCACCACACUACCACCACCAUAUUUUACUGUCCUUUUUCUGAAAUGCAUUACUUUUAUGUCAAAUGUAAUGGGACACACACCUUCCAAAAAGUUAAUCUUAUUUUGGGUAUUAUUUUGGUAUUUUCCUAAAGAUCUUGGGGUUCAUCAAGAUGUUUCUGGCAAAAUUGAGAUGAACCUUCAGCAGUGUUUUUUUGUGUUGAAACUCUGCCAUGUAUGUUCAUUC